CUUGAGAGGAUUUGAAUAAUGCAAGUACUCAGCGUUACAAAAUAUUUUUUGUUUUUCAGUUCUGAAAACAAAGGGAGCGAAGCCAUAAAUUCAAAGAGCAGCCAAAAGGAAAGCACGACUCUGCCUGCACUUUUGAAGGCUUGUCCUAAUGAAGAGAAGAACCAUUCCACAGAAGAGCUUAGCAAGGCUGAAAUCCAAGAGGAGCUGAAAAAGGCUAAUAGCCUUCCUAGUUUGACUCCUGGAAUCAAAACAUCAGAUAAAGACAAGCAGCCCCGAGAAGGCUUUUUUCAUUUCCUUGGAAGCUUAUUUAAUAUUGCAACAAGAUCUUCUUUGGUAGAAUCUAAACCUUCUACCUUCCAAGAUGAGCCCAACAGAUGUGAAAAGGAUUUACAGAGCACAAAUACCUUUCCAAAGGACAUGCAGCCAAAGCACCAGAAAAUUGAAGAGCCUACAGCUAGAAGAAAAGAGGGUUCUGUAAAUAAAGAUGAUGCCAUCUUAAAUAAUAUUGGGAAAGAUAACACAGGGAAUCUUCGAAGAGGCUGGAAACAAUCCUCAGAUACAGAAAAGUAAGUUUUAUAACUUAUUAUUAAAUAUGUUGAUGUUUGUGUGUGUGUGUACAAAACU
rnacentral:lncRNA from 12 species